rnacentral:rRNA from 1 species
GCUAAAUACUACUUAGUGACCGAUAGCGCAUAGUACCGUGAGGGAAAGGUGAAAAGAACCCCGGGAGGGGAGUGAAAUAGAACCUGAAACCCUGUGCUUACAAGCUGUGGGAGCACUUUAUAUGUGUGACCGCGUACUUUUUGUAGAACGGGCCAACGAGUUACGACAGUAAGCAAGGUUAAGUACUUAAGGUAUGGAGCCGUAGUGAAAGCGAGUCUUAAAUGGGCGUUAAGUUUUCUGUCGUAGACCCGAAACCGGGCGACCUACCCAUGAGCAGGAUGAAGCGAAAGUAAAAUUUCGUGGAGGUCCGAACCCACGAGCGUUGAAAAGCUCGGGGAUGACUUGUGGGUAGCGGUGAAAUUCCAAUCGAGCCCGGAGAUAGCUGGUUCUCCCCGAAAUAGCUUUAGGGCUAGCCUCAAGGUUGAGAAAUACGGAGGUAGAGCACUGAAUAUCCUAGGGGGCAUUGCGCUUACCGAAGAUUAUCAAACUCCGAAUGCCGUUAUUUUAUACUUGGGAGUCAGACUGUGGGUAAUAAGAUUCAUAGUCGAGAGGGCAACAGCCCAGAUCGUCAGCUAAGGUCCCUAAAUGUAAGUUAAGUGGUAAAGGAUGUGGGAUUGCAUAGACAACCAGGAUGUUGGCUUAGAAGCAGCCACUCAUUUAAAGAGUGCGUAAUAGCUCACUGGUCGAGUGAUCCUGCGCCGAAGAUUACCGGGGCUAAAACUUACUACCGAAGCUACGAUAUCAUUUAUGAUAGGUAGGGGAGCUUCCUAUGCAGGCUGAAGCAUGACCGUAAGGACAUGUGGACAGUAUAGGAGUGAGAAUGUUGGCAUGAGUAGCGAGACGUGGGUGAGAAUCCCACGGGCCGUAAACCCAAGGUUUCCAGGGGAAGGUUCGUCCGCCCUGGGUUAGUCGGGACCUAAGCCGAGGCCGAAAGGCGUAGGUGAUGGACAACAGGUUGAGAUUCCUGUACCACCGAUAAUCGCUUGAGAGAAGGAAUGACACAGUAGGAUAAGCUAACCACACUGUUGGUUAUGUGUGGCUAAGUACUGAGGCAGUCAAGGUAGGCAAAUCCGCCUUGAUAAUGCUGGGGUACGAUGGGGAGCGAAAUUAAGUAGCGAAGUAGCUGAUUUCACACUGUCGAGAAAAGUUUCUAUCGAGAUUAAAGGUGCCCGUACCGCAAACCGACACAGGUGGGUGAGGAGAGUAUCCUAAGGCCAGCGAGAGAACUGUUGUUAAGGAACUCGGCAAAAUGACCCCGUAACUUAGGGAGAAGGGGUGCCACGUUAGGGUUAACGCCCGAGGUGGCCGCAGAGAAUAGGCCCAAGCGACUGUUUACCAAAAACACAGGUUUCUGCUAAGUCGCAAGACGAUGUAUAGGAGCUGACGCCUGCCCGGUGCUGGAAGGUUAAGGGGAUCUGUUAGGAUUUAUCCGAAGCAGUGAACUUAAGCCCCAGUAAACGGCGGCCGUAACUAUAACGGUCCUAAGGUAGCG